GCGGCACCUCGUUCGGUGAGGCGUCUGCACGGACACAGGCCACUGACCCCGAACGUCGAGAGACGCCCCGGGUCAGGACAGCUCUCCCCGGGCUAAGGGGUGGGCCCAGGUGGCUUCCUGGUUGGGAUUACGCCGUGCAGUGCCAAAGCUCUGACGAGGAGGGGUGCU
rfam:Frankia symbiont of Datisca glomerata, complete genome.